GAUGAACGCUGGCGGCGUGCCUAAUACAUGCAAGUCGAGCGAACGGACGAGAAGCUUGCUUUUCUGAUGUUAGCGGCGGACGGGUGAGUAACACGUGGAUAACCUACCUAUAAGACUGGGAUAACUUCGGGAAACCGGAGCUAAUACCGGAUAAUAUUUUGAACCGCAUGGUUCAAAAGUGAAAGACGGUCUUGCUGUCACUUAUAGAUGGAUCCGCGCUGCAUUAGCUAGUUGGUAAGGUAACGGCUUACCAAGGCAACGAUGCAUAGCCGACCUGAGAGGGUGAUCGGCCACACUGGAACUGAGACACGGUCCGGACUCCUACGGAAGGCAGCAGUAGGGAAUCUUCCGCAAUGGGCGAAAGCCUGACGGAGCAACGCCGCGUGAGUGAUGAAGGUCUUCGGAUCGUAAAACUCUGUUAUUAGGGAAGAACAUAUGUGUAAGUAACUGUGCGCAUCUUGACGUUACCUAAUCAGAAAGCCACGGCUAACUACUG
rnacentral:rRNA from 1 species